UACGCUACUGGUUGGAUAUUUAGUUAAUAGAAAAAAUGUGAACAGUGUUUUCUAUUUUGUCCCUUCCAGGCUAUGGUUUCAGACUUGAGGAGGUCCAUUGCAGACACCUGAAACAGAGAUGCCUUUAAACUGGAAUUCCAUGGUACUGGUUCCACAGUUGCUGCCUAAAUGAAGACACUGAUGGGUUUUGUUUUUUGGUUGGUUUUUUUUUUUUUUUUUUUAAGGAAAGUUGACUUACACAUGUAUCAUUUAAUUCAAGAAACAAAUAUUCUUUCUAAAUUCUGAGGGCUGUUCAAUUCCGAGGCUACUCAAUGUAAAUAGGAUCCUAUUUCAAUUUCCCAUAUUAAAUUCCCACAUCCCUUUCAUAUCUGCCCAACUAAAACUACACAGAAAGCUGAAUGUUCUCAAAAUAAAAGAGGGUAAAAAAAGCGCUGUUUUUAAUGAUGCUUUAUCAUUACCAGUAAGUGAAACUACAAAAAUAACUGUUUGGGCCAUAUACUCAAUUGAAUAAAAUUUUCUAUUAUAUAUUUGCACUUGCAAUAGCCUGGUUUCUUACAUCAGAAAAAAGGUUUCUUUUUUUUUUUUUUUUCAAUUGAACUAGACUGAAUAUAAACUCAUUUAAGAGAAGUUGAGCAUAUUCAAGUAUACCCAUAUUUUCCUUUUUGUUGUUGUUGUUUUGAUUUUUUUUUUAAUACACUGUGAGAAUGGAGACAUCUUAGACAAAGUCUUGAGUGCUGCAUUCAAGAAACAAGUUUGGGCGCUGGGAAAGCCCAAGUUUGGUAUCCCAGCUGUGCUAACGAUUCCUUCUCAUCUUUAAGUGGAUCACAACUGCUCGGGCUGGGAUUCGGCUUACAUUGUAAGCAUCCAACGCCAUCUCUGCUGUGGCUGGUGCACAAAGACCAAGUGAAGACCACACAGAGUAGCAACGGGAGCCCAGGCAGGAAACGGACAUGAAAAAGCACUACCUGCUUGCAACCAUGCACCUGCACCCAUCUUUCAGUUCUGCAUCUCAUUAUCAAAACACUAUCAUUUUUCUUUGUACACGAUGGUAAUUUUGAAAAGAAAAGUUAACAUUUUAUAUGUGGAGGUUACAACUUCAAAGGGCUUUGCUAGAGCUCAAUCUUCUAAAAUGUAGUAUUAAAAUACGUUCUAAUGGACAUUUACCUCUAUAUUUCCAAAUACAGAUGUCUGGGCAGGUCAGUCACUUUUACAGCUUGAUAUUGUUUUUGAUAACAUCACUUUACAGAUUUAAGUGAGAGCUUGAUUCUGCAUUUAAUCCUUAACUUCUAAUCAUCUGCUAGAUAAGUUGUAUACAAAACAUCUAUAUAAACCAUAUGGUCCUCUGAAAACGUGGAACUGAACUGAAUGAAAUGCAAGCUCUUGCCUUUUCUGAACACAUCUGCUGCUGUGGCUUCUGACAGGAUAGCACCAAAAGGGCUCCCACACAAGCAGGACAGAAGGCAGGAAGCAUUUUGCACAUGCUGUCCUAGGCUGCAAUUAGCAAAUUCAGAGGCCACCUGUCACAGGGCCGAGCAGCACACAAUUCCAGGGGACAGGAAUUGCUGGGGAAGCAAGCAGAGCUGUCAGUAGAUGCGAGGCAUGCCCUGUUUCCUUUGCUGACAGUAGUGACAUGCCUCCUUCCUUCUUCCAGUUCUUCCUAGCAUAGCCAUUACAUAGGUCUCUGCUACCAGGCUACUGCUCCUCUUCCCAUAUGUGCAGGGAGACUACUGCAUGCUAACAUUCAGACAACUUACUAUUUGCAAAGUUAUCCAGAGCUGGAGGACAAAUCUGAACUGUUCUUCUCAAAGCAAGGUACUGCACGUAUCAUUGAACCUUGUCUUCCUUUAAUCUUAAAAAACCCCAACAAACCCCAAACAAAUUGCGUUGGGACUUCUCUAACUACAUAAUCAAACACAAAAUUUUUACUGUGACAUUUGUGGUCUUUCCAGUGAUGAACUUUUGUAAUGUGCACAGAAUAAGACAGAAAAUCAUUAUGCAAGUUCAGAAGCGAUAAGCUUCUACCAUUUUUGGCACAUUUUUGCUUUGACAGCAGUCAAUUUUUGCCUCGUUUAAAAAUGGGAAAAGUAAAGAUAUCAUGAAAAGGCCACUUAAAAGCAAAACAAAAUAAAAGAAUGCAAAUUUAUAUUGGAGUUACACAACUGCCAAGAAUGCUUAGAGCCUGCUAAUCUUCUGUUUAUUACUUGUAUGUUCUCCUCUUUGCCUCAACAGUGCAUAUGCAACACUGAAAACUUUGAAGAGUGUAUUUUAAAAGCUGACUUUGAGUACUGUGAGCAUGAGUCAGACAUAAUUUACAUGGCUGAAAUUUCACUAAAUAACUUCAAAAUUAUACCACC
ensembl:lncRNA